UCGGGAAUUUUGGGCAAUGGGCGAAAGCCUGACCCAGCAACGCCGCGUGAAGGAUGAAGUAUUUCGGUAUGUAAACUUCGAAAGAAUAGGAAGAAUAAAUGACGGUACUAUUUAUAAGGUCCGGCUAACUACGUGCCAGCAGCCGCGGUAAUACGUAGGGACCAAGCGUUGUUCGGAUUUACUGGGCGUAAAGGGCGCGUAGGUGGUCUUGUGUGUCUAUCGUGAAAGCACACGGCUCAACCGUGUAAAGUCGGUGGAAACUGCAGGACUUGAGGUUGGGAGGGGCUGGUGGAAUUCCCUGUGUAGCGGUGAAAUGCGUAGAUAUAGGAAGGAACACCAGUGGCGAAGGCGACCACCUGGACUGAUACUGACACUGAGGUGCGAAAGCGUGGGGAGCAAACAGGAUUAGAUACCCAUGUAGUCCCUGAGCGGGCUGGCAAGGCGCAU
rnacentral:rRNA from 1 species